UAGUCUACGCCGUAAACGAUGGAUACUAGCUGUUGGACUUCGGUUCAGUGGCUAAGCGAAAGUGAUAGGUAUCCCACCUGGGGAGUACGUUCGCAAGAAUGAAACUCAAAGGAAUUGACGGGGCCCGCACAAGCGGUGGAGCAUGUGGUUUAAUUCGAUGAUACGCGAGGAACCUUACCAGGGCUUAAAUGUAGAUUGACAGGUUUAGAGAUAGACUUUUCUUCGGACAAUUUACAAGGUGCUGCAUGGUUGUCGUCAGCUCGUGCCGUGAGGUGUCAGGUUAAGUCCUAUAACGAGCGCAACCCCUGUUGUUAGUUGCCAGCAUGUAAAGAUGGGAACUCUAACAAGACUGCCAGUGCAAACUGUGAGGAAGGUGGGGAUGACGUCAAAUCAUCACGGGCCCUUACGUCCUGGGGCUACACACGUGCUACAAUGGUAGGGGACAGGAGAGCAGCCACUGCGUGAGCAGGGAGC
rnacentral:rRNA from 1 species